CUACAGGCAAUCAUUCGCCCAGCCCCCAUUGCACAAUGCUAAAGGGCACCUAGCGCUACCUUCUUGGAGCAAGGCAACGCCAACCUAGAUGCACUAGGGAGCGAAACUUGCUCGCUAGGGAGACCGCGCAUGCGCAAAUCUUGCCUGUAUUUAUCCGCCGGCGCGCUCCGCCGACGAGUAGCUGCGUGUCCAGCGUUCCGAAUUAUUCUGGGAGCACCUGUACAUUGAAGCCGAGAAGGAGAAAGCCAAGCAGGAUAAUAACAGCCUCUGCGACUUUCAAUUUUUCAAGAUUCCGAAGGUGCGCGUUCAGGAAUGCGGCAUGACCAAGCAGAUGUCGGAACGGCGGCGACGCGAGUGCAUCGCCCACCUCAACAAGAGGGGUGUCGCUGAAAAUGCGGGCAACUACAAAAUGUGUUCCCGACACUUUUUAUCAGGUUGUCCGUCAAGUCUAUUUGACGAGCGUAGUCCUGAUUGGGCCUCAUCGAAGCAUUGGGAGUAUGAUGCCAAGAGCACCACCGAAGAACGAUAGAGCCACAAAAAGGCACCUUCGCAACAUCUUUUCACCGCUGAUGCUGUCUGCCAGACGGACAUGUCCAAAGAGGGCAUCAACAAACUUGAGGAGACCGUGGCACGGCUCGACUAGAAGCUGGAUGCAUAUCAAUAUGUUCUUCAUUCAGCAAAGUUCACUCAAGAAAGCUUGGAGGACAGUGAUGCCAAAGUAGCUUUCUAUACUAGGCUUCCUACAUAUUUGUCGUUACUUCCCGUUUUGUAACUGUUGAAAGACCAUAUUUCCCAUUAGGCUAAGCGUUCCCUCACACAGUUUCAACUUAUGAUUCUCUUUUUGAUGAUAUUGAGGCUGGGCUGUCAGCUACAGGACCUUGCAUACCGUUUAUGUAUGUCGCAGCCAAUAGCAUCACGUAUCUGCGAAAGGUGACUGAUCAUGUUUUUCAACUACAUUGGUCCAUUCAUACGCUGGCCAGACAAAGAGCAGAUCCAUAAAACAAUGCUGCUGACUUUUGUUGACAACUUUGGCUUGAAGGUUCGGGUGACACUUGACUGCUUUGAGAUAAGCACCGACAGGCCAAGUUCCUACCUUCCUCGAGCAGAGACAUACGUGGUCUCAAUAUAAGCACCAGAACACGGUGCGAUUUUUGUUGCAGAUUAUUUCCCGGAGGGCGGUCACUUUUCUUUUGGAUGAAUAUGGAGGCCGUGCCAGUGAUAAAAGAAUAACGAAAGAAUGUGGGGUCCUGGAUCUCCUAGAGUUCGGUGAUGUUGUACUGGCUGACAGGAGAGUUUUGACAGCAGAAAGUGUAGGCAUGUGCCAUGCUACACUUGUUGCACCUGCUUUCACUAAAGGGAAAAGGCGACUGUGCAAUAGUGACAUCGAGCGGACAAUGUAGAUAGCGAAUGUGAGGAUACAUGUUGAGUGGGCAAUAGGCAUGGUAAGAAACAAACACACUAUUCUGAAGGGCAGCUUGCCCGUUGAAGUUCUAAAGUGUGAGAAGCACGGCAGGUCUCAGACUGACAAGAUUGCAUGUGUUUGUUGUCCACUCACCAAUCUCUGCUAUAUCUGUCGUGCCAUUCGACUAAAGAGAUGUGAACUAUGGAAGUUUGUCGUGCAAGCCGAGGGGAAGGCCACUGUGAAUGUUUGUGGGUAAAGGCCUAAGGAUUCUUAAAACAAAAGAGAAAGGGCACUGCGGGAACAGCAGACACACCUUACUUAGUACAAGCGCACUAACUGAAGUAGAACAUGAUGGAGCGAAAAAAUAUGGUACUACAUAAUUGGAUAACAAAUACUAUUGGGCUCAAGAUGACGUGCAACGCAUGUGCGCGUGCCCGCAACGCUUCCAGGAUGCGUGGUGGUGUCAGGAAGCAGCGCGUUGGGAAACAAAAGGAAAAAGUGUCUUCCAUUGUGACAAUCAGCUGCAUCCCCUGGACCCUCCAAGUGCUUUAUGUUCCUUUGGGAUGAUAUUGUGCGUAAAUGUGUUGCGGCCGUGAGCGUGCACAUUGCAAAUCACGUUCAUCGUGACCAUACAUGUGGUUGAUUGUGCCAACGCCGAGAUGCGGUGUUUACUAUUGUUCACUGUAACAUUGGUGCACUGUGCAGCUUGGAGCUCGGGGCAUCAGCAGUUGUCAUGCCUGUCGUAAGGAGUGUGCGGGGCAGCGGCCAGUGAGCUGGGGGUAGGUUGCGGCUGUCCCAAGUUGCCGUGUCAUUGCAGCUCAGCAAAUGCUACGGAGAAGAUCAACGCAUAGAGUCAUGCGCUGACAAACACUAUUGUGUUUGCUAUGUUCGAAUACUUAGACGCUUGUGCACUAAGGAUACAUAAGUUUCCUGACCUUCAGAAAGACUUGGAAAGAUAGGGUGCAUACACACCGCUGACGAGUGACAUCAUCAUACCAUAUUGCAGGGUCCCAGGUCUCCGACAAGCCCACAGCACCGAACUGCUUGU